rnacentral:rRNA from 1 species
AAAGAAAAUAACAAUGAUUCCCUCAGUAACGGCGAGCGAAGAGGGAUAAGCUCAAAUUUUAAAUCUGUUGGGUUUCACUUAACAGAGUUGUAUUUUGAAGAAACGUUUUCUGCAUCCAGGAUUAGCCUAAAUCCUUUGGGAUAAGGUAUCAUGGAGGGUGAGAAUCCCGUUCAUGGUUAAUCUUAAGGAAGCUCUACGAUACGUUUUCCAAGAGUCGAGUUGUUUGGGAUUGCAGCUCAAAAUGGGAGGUAAAUUUCUCCUAAGGCUAAAUAUUGGCGAGAGACCGAUAGCGAACAAGUACCGUGAGGGAAAGAUGAAAAGAACUUUGAAAAGAGAGUUAAACAGUACGUGAAAUUGUUGAAAGGGAAACGAUUGAAG